rnacentral:tRNA from 1 species
GCGGAGGUAGUCUAAUGGUUAGGAUAGUACCCUGCCACGGUAUUGAUCCGGGUUCGAAUCCCGGCCUUCGCA